rnacentral:rRNA from 1 species
GACGAACGCUGGCGGCGUGCUUAACACAUGCAAGUCGAACGGAAAGGCCCUGCUUUUGUGGGGUGCUCGAGUGGCGAACGGGUGAGUAACACGUGAGUAACCUGCCCUUGACUUUGGGAUAACUUCAGGAAACUGGGGCUAAUACCGGAUAGGAGCUCCUGCUGCAUGGUGGGGGUUGGAAAGUUUCGGCGGUUGGGGAUGGACUCGCGGCUUAUCAGCUUGUUUGUGGGGUAGUGGCUUACCAAGGCUUUGACGGGUAGCCGGCCUGAGAGGGUGACCGGCCACAUUGGGACUGAGAUACGGCCCAGACUCCUACGGGAGGCAGCAGUGGGGAAUAUUGCACAAUGGGCGGAAGCCUGAUGCAGCAACGCUGCGUGCGGGAUGACGGCCUUCGGGUUGUAAACCGCUUUCGCCUGUGACGAAGCGUGAGUGACGGUAAUGGGUAAAGAAGCACCGGCUAACUACGUG